CCAAUAGCGUAUAUUAAAGUUGUUGCAGUUAAAAAGCUCGUAGUUGAAUUUCGGGGUUAGUAAGUUGGUUGUGCCACUGGUAUGUACUGGCUUUACUGAUUCCUCCUUCUUGUAGAACCGUAAUGCCAUUAAGUUGGUGUUGCGGGGAAACAGGACUGUUACUUUGAAAAAAUUAGAGUGUUUAAAGCAAGCUAACGCUUGAAUAAAUUAGCAUGGAAUAAUGAAAUAGGACGUUCGAUCCUAUUUUGUUGGUUUCUAGGAUUGACGUAAUGAUUAAUAGGGAUAGUUGGGGGCAUUAGUAUUCAAUUGUCAGAGGUGAAAUUCUUGGAUUUAUUGAAGACUAACUACUGCGAAAGCAUUUGCCAAGAAUGUUUUCAUUAAUCAAGAACGAAAGUUAGAGGUUCGAAGGCGAUCAGAUACCGCCCUAGUUCUAACCAUAAACGAUGCCGACCGGCGAUCCGCUGUCGUUACUUGAAUGACUCAGCGGGCAGCCUCCG
rnacentral:misc_RNA from 1 species